UGGGAGUUAAAGUGAACCACCUCUGAUUUGCUGGCAUUAAUGAUGAGGUGCUUCUUUUGAGCAUAUAAAUGCAACUGAUUCAGCAUUUGCUGCAUAUCGUCCUCAGAAUUACUUAGCAAGGUCAGGUCAUCAGCGAAGAGCAAGUGCGACACAUGGAAAUUCUCUGUCCCUGUCACUGCACCCGUGCAUUCCUCUGCAAUCCAGUCCACAUCAUU
rnacentral:lncRNA from 1 species